UACGUAGGGGGCUAGCGUUGUCCGGAAUCAUUGGGCGUAAAGCGCGUGUAGGCGGCCCGGUAAGUCCGCUGUGAAAGUCGGGGGCUCAACCCUCGGAAGCCGGUGGAUACUGUCGGGCUCGAGUACGGAAGAGGCGAGUGGAAUUCCUGGUGUAGCGGUGAAAUGCGCAGAUAUCGGGAGGAACACCGGUGGCGAAGGCGGAUCUCUGGGCCUUACCUGACGCUGAGGCGCGAAAGCUAGGGGAGCGAACAGG
rnacentral:rRNA from 1 species